GAUGAACGCUGGCGGCGUGCCUAAUACAUGCAAGUCGAGCGAACAGACGAGGAGCUUGCUCCUCUGACGUUAGCGGCGGACGGGUGAGUAACACGUGGAUAACCUACCUAUAAGACUGGGAUAACUUCGGGAAACCGGAGCUAAUACCGGAUAAUAUAUUGAACCGCAUGGUUCAAUAGUGAAAGACGGUUUUGCUGUCACUUAUAGAUGGAUCCGCGCCGCAUUAGCUAGUUGGUAAGGUAACGGCUUACCAAGGCAACGAUGCGUAGCCGACCUGGGAGGGUGAUCGGCCACACUGGAACUGAGACACGGUCCAGACUCCUACGGGAGGCAGCAGUAGGGAAUCUUCCGCAAUGGGCGAAAGCCUGACGGAGCAACGCCGCGUGAGUGAUGAAGGUCUUCGGAUCGUAAAACUCUGUUAUUAGGGAAGAACAAAUGUGUAAGUAACUAUGUACGUCUUGACGGUACCUAAUCAGAAAGCCACGGCUAACUACGUG
rnacentral:rRNA from 1 species